rnacentral:rRNA from 1 species
UGAGGAAUAUUGCGCAAUGGAGGAAACUCUGACGCAGCGACGCCGCGUGAAGGAUGAAGGCCCUCUGGGUUGUAAACUUCUGUAGAGAGGGAAGAAUUUUUCGCUUCGCGAAAUUGACGGUACCUCUAAAGUAAGGGUCGGCUAACUACGUGCCAGCAGCCGCGGUAAUACGUAGGACCCAAGCGUUGUCCGGAUUUACUGGGUGUAAAGGGAGCGCAGGCGGAUUUUCAAGUCGAUGGUGAAAUCUUGCGGCUCAACCGCAAAACAGCCGUCGAUACUGUUAAUCUUGAGUGUGGAAGAGAGUGGCGGAAUUCAUGGUGUAGCAGUGAAAUGCGUAGAUAUCAUGAAGAACACCGGUUGCGAAGGCGGCCACUUAGUCCAUUACUGACGCUCAUGCUCGAAAGCGUGGGGAUCAAACAGG